GACGAACGCUGGCGGCGUGGAUUAGGCAUGCAAGUCGAACGGUAUGGACCUUUCGGGGUUCAGAGAGUGGCGAACGGGUGAGUAACACGUAGGUAAUCUACCCUCAAGACGGGGACAACCCAGGGAAACUUGGGCUAAUACCGGAUGUGUGUAGUGGCUAUUUUUCUGAUUAUCAUUAUUUACGUAAGUGAGUAAUAAUAAGAAGGGAAAGUGGUUAUUACAUAAAAGGUGGCGUAAGCUGCCGCUUGGGGAUGAGCCUGCGUCCUAUUAGUUAGUUGGUGAGGUAACGGCUUACCAAGGCGAUGAUAGGUAGGCGGCCUUAACGGGUGGUCGCCCACACUGGGAUUGAGAUACGGCCCAGACUCCUACGGGGAGGCAGCAGUCGAGAAUAGUCUACAAUGGACGGAAGUCUGAUAGUGCGACGCCGCGUGAACGAAGAAUCCCUUCGGGGUGUAAAGUUCUUUUAUACGUGAGCAGUGUCCUUUAUAUUAAUAGUAUAAGGGGAGAGGAUAUUAGCGUAUGAAUAAGCAACGG
rnacentral:rRNA from 1 species